UGUCUGAUGGUGUAAUCGGCAACACGUCUGAUUCUGGAUCAGAAGAGUCCAGGUUCGAGCCCUGGUCGGACAA
rnacentral:tRNA from 1 species